CAGAAAAUAUACACAUGAAACAUUUUAUUUAUUUGUAAACCACAAUGUCAUAGUUUACAUCGAAAUUAUCAGCUUUCUUUUCUUGCAAGGUAUAAAUACUAUAGUAGCAGUAUAUAUAUACAUGUUUGAUGAUUGUUUCUUCUUCCAAAUCAGCAUCUCCCAUUCUUCACAACCUACUAUACAAUGGAAAAGAGUCAGUAAGAAGUUCUAGAAAUAAAAAAGAUACUCCAAAUUCACGAAAGAGUUCAUAACAAAAACACUCUAGAAAAGAAAGAUCAACAAGCCCUUGUGCUUUCUGGAAUAGACUGGAUAGACUGGAUAAAGUAAUAUCUUGUGCUUUCUGGAAUAAUGUCUUGGGUCAAAAUAAUUGAUGCACACAUAUCGCACAAGUCUAUAUAUUGAUGUCAUCAUGAGAUUUUACUGAAAUAUUUGAAGCCAAUUGCAUGUACAAUAUCAAUAGGGGAAAUCCAUGACCUAUGUGCAGAAACAACAUUUGGUAGUUGCAGAAGUUAGAUCAUUCAGAGCUUUUAUUCUAGCAUGCUAACUGAUAGGUCUUGCACACGGAAUUUAGUCACAACAACAUUCAUUCCAUACAAAUGUCGUUAAGUAUUACUGUAUUAAGAACUAUAGAAAUGUAUUUUAAGACAUCAGGAUCAGAAACUAUACCUGGGAUGCAGAUUUGUUAGGUGACGCCUCCACGGCGAAAUCAUAGUCUCACACUCUCGCUACUUCCCAUAAGAUCCAUAAUUCAGCAAGGACUUCAGUCUGUUAGUUGUGGCCUCAAAGCCUAUGAACAUAUCUACUAACAAUUAACUAAAUUCAUGUUAACAAAAGAAAGUUACCCCAAACAAAUGUGUAGCCGUCUUACAUCUCUCUCAACAGAACUGAAGUGCACAUGUUUCGUCUCUAGCAAAAUAUCUUCCUUGUUGUAUUUGUUCCAUUCUGGACUUCGUCGGUUUCAAAGGUACGAACAAAACAACUGUAAAAAAAUAAUGGCGGCACAAAUGAUGAUUCACCAUCUACAUAUUAUAAAGAAAAAACGAAGGAGAGACAGUGGCGACAUGUCGGAUGCGGGAUGUGGCCAACUUGGAUAAGUCAUCAUGCAACCAUGGGGCAUGGUUAGACAGCAAGCCCAGGGGCCGGUGCCAUCGAUCGGGCAGCCUAUCAGUGAUAGCGACUUACUUCCAUGUUAGGUCGUCCGUUUCACACAUCUGGAUGCAAGGAGCACCGCUAUUGGGUGGUUGAAUGUAGGGAUCGAUGGCGUCCUACGUAAAGUGAGGCCCGGAUGUAAUCUUAAAUAAAUCCAUCUGCACGUCAACUAAAAUCAGUUCCCAAAAAGAUAAAUCAAAGUUUAGAUAGAAUAAACAAAUACUGAAAUAGACUGGUCGCACCGAAACUUGCUAUGAACAAAAAACAUUAAGAGACUUUCUUGAUAAGGUAAUAAUGGUGUAGAACAAGAUAGAGAUAUUGCACGUCCUAGCUUGAACAACCAAUUCUUACCAGAUCUAAAUACCCUUUUGAUAAUCAACUAAACCUAGGAACAACAACUAAAG
rnacentral:lncRNA from 1 species